CCUACGGGGGGCAGCAGUGGGGAAUAUUGGGCAAUGGGCGCAAGCCUGACCCAGCAACGCCGCGUGAAGGAAGAAGGCUUUCGGGUUGUAAACUUCUUUUCUCAGGGACGAAGAAAGUGACGGUACCUGAGGAAUAAGCCACGGCUAACUACGUGCCAGCAGCCGCGGUAAUACGUAGGUGGCAAGCGUUAUCCGGAUUUAUUGGGUGUAAAGGGCGUGUAGGCGGGAGCGCAAGUCAGAUGUGAAAACUCAGGGCUCAACCCUGAGCCUGCAUUUGAAACUGUGUUUCUUGAGUGCUGGAGAGGCAAUCGGAAUUCCGUGUGUAGCGGUGAAAUGCGUAGAUAUACGGAGGAACACCAGUGGCGAAGGCGGAUUGCUGGACAGUAACUGACGCUGAGGCGCGAAAGCGUGGGGAGCAAACAGGAUUAGAUACCCCAGUAGUC
rnacentral:rRNA from 1 species